rnacentral:rRNA from 1 species
UACGUAGGGGGCAAGCGUUGUCCGGAAUCAUUGGGCGUAAAGAGCGUGUAGGCGGCUCGGUAAGUCCGCUGUGAAAGUCCAGGGCUCAACCCUGGAAUGCCGGUGGAAACUGUCGGGCUAGAGUCCGGAAGAGGCGAGUGGAAUUCCCGGUGUAGCGGUGAAAUGCGCAGAUAUCGGGAGGAACACCUAUGGCGAAGGCAGCUCGCUGGGACGUUACUGACGCUGAGACGCGAAAGCGUGGGGAGCAAACAGG